UUUAUUGGAGAGUUUGAUCCUGGCUCAGGAUGAACGCUGGCGGCGUGCCUAAUACAUGCAAGUCGAGCGAAUGGAUUAAGAGCUUGCUCUUAUGAAGUUAGCGGCGGACGGGUGAGUAACACGUGGGUAACCUGCCCAUAAGACUGGGAUAACUCCGGGAAACCGGGGCUAAUACCGGAUAACAUUUUGAACCGCAUGGUUCGAAAUUGAAAGGCGGCUUCGGCUGUCACUUAUGGAUGGACCCGCGUCGCAUUAGCUAGUUGGUGAGGUAACGGCUCACCAAGGCAACGAUGCGUAGCCGACCUGAGAGGGUGAUCGGCCACACUGGGACUGAGACACGGCCCAGACUCCUACGGGAGGCAGCAGUAGGGAAUCUUCCGCAAUGGACGAAAGUCUGACGGAGCAACGCCGCGUGAGUGAUGAAGGCUUUCGGGUCGUAAAACUCUGUUGUUAGGGAAGAACAAGUGCUAGUUGAAUAAGCUGGCACCUUGACGGUACCUAACCAGAAAGCCACGGCUAACUACGUGCCAGCAGCCGCGGU
rnacentral:rRNA from 1 species